rnacentral:sRNA from 1 species
UUUUAGCCCAGAUAGUAGUGGAAAUCCUUUUCUUUUUUUCUUUAAAAAAAGAAAAGAUUGCAACGGAUAGCUGGAAAUAGC